GAUGAACGCUGGCGGCGUGCUUAACACAUGCAAGUCGAACGAAGCGCCUUAAACAGAUUUCUUCGGAUUGACGUUUUUGGCGACUGAGUGGCGGACGGGUGAGUAACGCGUGGGUAACCUGCCUCAUACAGGGGGGAUAACAGUUAGAAAUGACUGCUAAUACCGCAUAAGCGCACGGUACCGCAUGGUAUUGUGUGAAAAAACUCCGGUGGUAUGAGAUGGACCCGCGUCUGAUUAGCUUGUUGGCGGGGUAACGGCCCACCAAGGCGACGAUCAGUAGCCGACCUGAGAGGGUGAUCGGGCCACAUUGGGACUGAGACACGGGCCCAAAACUCCUACGGGAGGCAGCAGGUGGGGAAUAUUGCACAAUGGGGGGAAAACCCUGAAUGCAGCGACGCCGCGUGAAGGACGACGUAUUUC
rnacentral:rRNA from 1 species